CAGCUCCUUGGGUCAUGUGAAAAUCUCAGCUUUCAUUUUUUACAAACGGAAGUUUCUAGCCCUCAAGAUUGUGGAGGAAGGACUAAACUCCAACUGCCCUUUAAAGGUUCGGAAACCAGAAGGUACCUCCUCUUCAGUGUCAAGAACUUUAGCUGUAAAAUCUUUUCAAGUAACUGAUUCCUACAUGUUCCCUCCCCCCUCCAAGAAAGAAAGAAAGAAAAAAAGAAAGAAAAGGAUCCUGAAGUCAUUUCUUGCAGGCUACAUGAAUCAGAAGUAGAAAGGGGGACGAUCUAUACAGCUCUGUGGGCUGGGUACUUACAUUAACAUCCCCGGAAAGGAUUAGGGUUCUACAGAUGGAAAGGAAAUACCCACCACGUCUCUGUUCCUACUGUUGGGCCGCGAACUUUCUGUUCGGAUGAGACCGAUUUCCUGGGUGUGUAGAUGUGUGGGUGUCGAGUGGAGAGGAGGACCACCGCCAGGAGCAACUCUCCCUUUGUGCAGAACGGAUCAAAUGAGCGACUUGAAAACUUGAGAGCUGGCAGCUUUCAGUCAGUGAGACGCCCUUGCCUGCCCAGCUUGAUAAUGGGAGGAAGCAAGGAGAGAGAGAGAAAAAAAAACCUACGAGGAGACUUUGGCAGAGAACAGAAACAUGAACUCCACGCAGGAUGCUGUGGCUGGGGGUGGGCGGAUAGUCGCGAGUGAUUUAUCUGCGGGUACUAGGUACCGCCUGGUUAACGCUGGUGGCCCGCAUUGAGGCAAGUUCUACCCUCCCUCCUGCACCCCCACACCCCCACCCAGCAUCGGGGGGGUUUGUGCGCGGCGAUGCGCCUGGCCUGGGGCUGGGGGGAGGCGGGGGUCAGUCGUUACUCUGCCCCCUGCGGCCCCCUCCCCUCUCUCGCUGUCUUUCUCGGGACUUUGCAGAAAGAAGGGGGGGGAGAGGUCCCAAGAAGGGCUGGCUCGUGAGCAAGAGCGAACACCCCCAAUCAUCCUGGGGGCCCCUGUCCCCGGCGGCGGAGGGACUGGCUGAAACAGCCACCUGACCCCGUCUCCAGGUACCCUACCCACCACCGCGCCCUCCGCCGUGACACCUGCUCUCCUAAGACAGCCCUGCAGGAGAGAGAGUCACCCCCCAGCCCCCAGACCAUAUCACUGCCAUGCUCAGACUGCCAGAGGCCGCGGGCUGGGGCCCAGCCUUCACCUACAUGGCUGCCCAAAAGAAAGUCACCCAAUCCUACUCCUGGGCAAGACUGACAGAGACUCGGGAAGCGGGGCCCUUGGCUCCGUGCCUUAACUGGGGUGAGCCAGCCCAGAUUUCACACCCGGGGAGUCCAUUGCUGGGGCAGGUUAGCUGGAAAUGUAGCUGUCAGCAAAGGCGAGCAGGAAGAGACCCCUCCAUGCACGUGAUUGAAAUCCAGUCUGACGCCCCAGAGAAGCCAUUCCUUAUUAACACCUCCAGAGAAAGCUUCUGCUCCCCCUAAUUAUGGUCCAGCUGCAAAUGCACAGUGUUUCAUUCUCAGCGUCUUUAAACUCCUGCUGUCCACUGGCAGUAGCUUCUAUUCAAGCGAUAACGCGAUACCCCCUCUAGAAGCCACCGGCGUCGCUGCGCAUUAGUGUGGUAGCCGCCGACCCACGAGCCUUGUGGGGACUCAGACGCAUGUCCAUGCACAAGUUUUCUUUCCUUGGAGCUGUGCAAUAGGCGUCCCAGGAUGGCUCAGGCUGAUGAGAAGAGCUAGGAGCAGGCUUAGCUAUUGAACGCGAAACGGGGAAAACUCUUGUCUAAAAUAUUCAGUAGUUAUAAGAGAGCAGGUAAAAAAUACGUGAACAAAAAUCUAUUAGAUGUCAAAAUCACUCCGAACAUAUAUACAGUGUGUUUUUUAGGGGAUUGACAACAGUUUGGAGUGGAUUAUUCAUUCCUCUAGGGCAUUAUUUUCCAAUAUGGGCUCCUAGGUGCAAUUCAAGGCUCAGGAACAAAGCGGGCAUCUAAUGACAAGGUAAUGUUCCCUCUUUUUUGUUUAUUCUUGUGUUAAUAAGGGAAUUCUGCUCUACAGAGGUUGGCAUAUUCUGUUUCUUGGAUUUAUUUGACAAUUAAAAAAAUAAAAACAACCAACUUGUUCUUCGGGUAAACAUGUGUCCUGUGUUCUACUUAGACUGACAUAACUCAU